AUUGAACGCUGGCGGCAGGCCUAACACAUGCAAGUCGAACGGUAACAGGAAACAGCUUGCUGUUUCGCUGACGAGUGGCGGACGGGUGAGUAAUGUCUGGGAAACUGCCUGAUGGAGGGGGAUAACUACUGGAAACGGUAGCUAAUACCGCAUAACGUCGCAAGACCAAAGAGGGGGACCCCCGGGCCUCUUGCCAUCGGAUGUGCCCAGAUGGGAUUAGCUUGUUGGUGGGGUAACGGCUCACCAAGGCGACGAUCCCUAGCUGGUCUGAGAGGAUGACCAGCCACACUGGAACUGAGACACGGUCCAGACUCCUACGGGAGGCAGCAGUGGGGAAUAUUGCACAAUGGGCGCAAGCCUGAUGCAGCCAUGCCGCGUGUAUGAAGAAGGCCUUCGGGUUGUAAAGUACUUUCAGCGGGGAGGAAGGGAGUAAAGUUAAUACCUUUGCUCAUUGACGUUACCCGCAGAAGAAGCACCGGCUAACUCCGUG
rnacentral:rRNA from 1 species